GGGGACAUAGCUCAGUUGGGAGAGCAACAGACUGAAGUAGGACGGAACGUUUGAGUUUUCUGGAGGUCCCCAGUUCAAUCCUGGGUGUCCCAU